GAUGAACGCUGGCGGCGUGCCUAAUACAUGCAAGUCGAGCGGCCGCACGAUAAGCUUGUUCCUCUGCUGUUAGCGGCGGACGGGCGAGUAACACAUGGAUCACCUACUUCUUAUUCUGGGAUAACUUCGUGAAACCGGUGCCACUACCAGCUAAUAUUUUGUACGGCUUGGUUCAAAAGUUAUAGACGGCCUUGCUGACUCUUUUAGACGGAUCCGCGUUGCAUUGUCUAGUUGGUAAGGUAACGGCUUACCAAGGCAACGAUGCGUAGCCGACCUGAGAGGAUGAUCGGCCACACUGGAACUGAGACACGGUCCAGACUCCUACGGGAGGCAGCAGUGGGGAAUAUUGCACAAUGGGCGCAAGCCUGAUGCAGCAAUACCGCGUGAGUGAAGAAGGCCUUCGGAUCGUAAAGCUCUGUUGUUAGGAAAGAAAAUAUGUGUAAGUAUCUGUGCCUGUUUUGACGGUACCUAAUGAGAAAGCAACGGCUAACUUCGUG
rnacentral:rRNA from 1 species